AUACGGAAGGUCCGGGCGUUAUCCGGAUUUAUUGGGUUUAAAGGGAGCGCAGGCUGAUGAUUAAGCGUGACGUGAAAUGUAGCCGCUCAACGGCUGAACUGCGUCGCGAACUGGUUAUCUUGAGUGAGUUCGAUGUUGGCGGAAUUCGUGGUGUAGCGGUGAAAUGCUUAGAUAUCACGAAGAACUCCGAUUGCGAAGGCAGCCAACAAGGCCGUUACUGACGCUAAAGCUCGAAGGUGCGGGUAUCGAACAGGAUUAGAUACCCUGGUAGUCCGCACGGUAAACGAUGGAUGACCGCUGUGUGCGAUAUACUGUGAGCGGCCAAGAGAAAUCGUUAAGCAUCCCACCUGGGGAGUACGACCGCAACGUUGAAACUCAAAGGAAUUGACGGGG
rnacentral:rRNA from 1 species